rnacentral:misc_RNA from 1 species
GGUUCAUUUUGCUGCACCUACUCCGCUGUCGGUGCCGACUUGGUGCAGGCGUACAGGUGCGACGCAGCAGUGCAGCAGACAGUCCAGCACAUGGGCGCAAGCGCCAUUAAAAGCCCGCUUACGCACGUCUGAUGUGUGUACAGGUGUGGUUUGUAGUUAGGCCCACAAGCUGAUAAUACUUGUAGUUCACGAUCUUUCAAAUGUACGCACUCUGUGCACAUUAAUCAGGCAUAACAUAACGCCUGCACCGCAUCUGCACCUUGGCAUUCGUUUCGAGUGUUGCGCUGUGCCUGCACCGCAGAAACAAGCUGCACAAUUUCUGAACUUCUCGUGAACCUCCGUUAACUGGUUGACAGUUGUGCAGGUGAAUUGAACAGCCCUUUUAAGUGCUUCCACACGAAGUUCUUAUUUGCCCUUACGUUGCUUAGUGGCCUGAUGGCUGCUUCAGGUAUUGUACAAAAUGUUCGAUUCAACAUUGAAAGAAAAUUCAAGGAUAUGAAUGCUCAUGAAGGCCAAAAUUCAGUGACAUACAAAUGCAUUAAUUCUGCACAUAAACUAAAAAUUGUCAAAUUUCCUUCUUCCUAGCUGCAUUCAGUUAAGCAUGCUACUAAGUUGGAAUUGCUGGAAAAGUGUAAAAAAAGGCAAUUCUCUUUUAUAGUGUAGAGUGUCGACUGAUAACUGGCCUUACGGCCAGAAAUGAUGUGCAUGCCUUGAGGAGGAUGCUUUAGUUCAGUGCCAACUCUAAUCUCUUUAUUCAAAUACAUGUAAAAUGCAGAAAUGCUUUUGAGACAACUACUGGAAUAAUUGCAAUGAAAUUUGUUGCAUUUGAGAGAAAAAGAUAAAAUUUAGUCAUUCUAGGCUGCAUAAUUUUGAUUUAGGACCUUGAAUAUUUAGGAAAAAUUGCUGAGAGUCAGUAAGCUUAAAAAAUAUAAGCACGAAGUUUACAAUUUCAUAGCUUUUGUAUCAAGUUGUAAACUUCAUACGGAAGUCUUUUUAAUUUCACAAUUUUCAAAAUUUCCUGCCACAAAAAAUUGCCCCCUAGAACAGUCGCUACAUUUCAGCUUUUUUUUUUUUUACAUGUAACCAACCUCAUCGAAUUCCGUUGCUGGCUUCAGAGAAAAACUAUUUCUCUUUUCCCAUGUAUUCAGAUAGGAGCUCCAGAGAUAAAACUGCCUCCAAGUCAGGUAAACCAUUGUAUUAAAGAACAUUAUAAGAAGGAGAAGGGAAAACAUUUAUUAAAAAAAAUAAAGGAAAAGCGGGUGUCUUUCUGCUUGUGUGGGAGGCGCCCUUAGUCCAGGACUCCUGUGGCUCUUGCUGUCUCCCGGGCUCGCCACACCUGGUGUAACAAGAAUUGUGUUCUCAUCUGAAUUACUGAAGUAUACUUUUUCCUUUGUCAUAGGUGGAAAAGGAAAGUAUCAGCAACGUUCUCACACCUACACUGUCCUUAUUGAACUUUCCAAAAGGGGAACGUAUCCAAUAAAAUAAAGCACUAAUUUACUUUCA